CGAUUCCGGAGAGGGAGCCUGAGAAACGGCUACCACAUCUAAGGAAGGCAGCAGGCGCGCAAAUUACCCAAUCCUAAUACAGGGAGGUAGUGACAAGAAAUAACAAUACAGGACUUUACGGUUUUGUAAUUGGAAUGAGUUAAGUAUAAACCCCUUUACAAGUAUCAAUUGGAGGGCAAGUCUGGUGCCAGCAGCCGCGGUAAUUCCAGCUCCAAUAGCGUAUAUUAAAGUUGUUGCAGUUAAAAAGCUCGUAGUUGGAUUUCUGUUAAUACCUUAUAUAUAAUAUUUUUUUUUAAAUAUUAUUAUGUAAGAUUAACAUAAUUCAUAUUUUUUAAGACUGAAUUUUUAGUUUUGAUAAUAUGAAAUUUUACUUUGAGAAAAUUAGAGUGCUUAAAGCAGGCUUUUGCCUUGAAUACUCCAGCAUGGAAUAAUA
rnacentral:rRNA from 1 species